rnacentral:tRNA from 1 species
UCAAAAAUAGUAUAAUUGAGUAUGAAUAGUUUACAACUAUUAUGUAAAUAAAUAAUUUUUUUGGU